GUGCUCACGGCAGCAGCACAUACACUAAAAUUGGAACAAUACAGAGAAGAUUAGCAUAGCCCCUGCGCAAGGAUGACGCGCAAGUUUGUGAAGUGUUCUCUAUUAAG
ensembl:snRNA U6 U6 spliceosomal RNA